CGGAACGUGCCCAGUCGUGGGGGAUAACGCAGCGAAAGCUGUGCUAAUACCGCAUACGAUCUCUGGAUGAAAGCGGGGGACCUGCAAGGGCCUCGCGCGAUUGGAGCGGCCGAUAUCAGAUUAGCUAGUUGGCGGGGUAAAGGCCCACCAAGGCGACGAUCUGUAGCUGGUCUGAGAGGACGACCAGCCACACUGGAACUGAGACACGGUCCAG
rnacentral:rRNA from 1 species